rnacentral:rRNA from 1 species
UACGAAGGGUGCGAGCGUUGUUCGGAAUUAUUGGGCGUAAAGGGUGCGUAGGUGGCGCGUUAAGUCCGUUGUGAAAUCCCUGGGCUCAACCCAGGAAUUGCUUCGGAUACUGGCGUGCUUGAGGCCGGUAGGGGUCACUGGAACUGACGGUGGAGCGGUGAAAUGCGUAGAUAUCGUCAGGAACGCCGAUGGUGAAGACAGGUGACUGGGCCGGAACUGACACUGAGGCACGAAAGCGUGGGGAGCGAACGGG